AUCAUGACCCGAGCCAAAGGCAGACGCUUAACCAACUGAGCCAUCCAGGUGCCCCAAAAGACGUUCAUUUUUAAAAAUGUUUUGUUAUCGAUGCUGCUAUUUCAGUUCAUUCCCACUAUGCACCAAGCAGUGAAGUCUGGUACAAAGUGCUUCAGUUUCAUAGUAAGGUUCCAUAACCUUUAAGAAUUUGGAUCAUGAAAAGUAAACUUGAGUUCCUGCGGGAGGAAAGAGAAGUUUUUUUUUUUUUUUUGCCAACUCUUAACUUUUAUAUGUUGAAAAGACCUUUUUUUAAAUUAUAUUUUUAAGUAAUCUCCAUGCCCAAUGUGGGGCUCGAAAUCACGACCCUGAGAUCAAGAGCUGCAUGCUCUACCCACUGAGCGAGGCAGGUGACCCUGUUGAGAGCACCUUUAUGUCACCUUCAUCAUUACAUAAUUGUUAAGCUAUUGAAUAUGGAACUAGAAAUCUGAGGAACUUAAAUAUAUUUAUUUCAAAAUAAUUUCAGAUUGUCCUACUUUUAUGUUUUUCAGAGUAAAUCCAUAUCUUGAUUGUUGAUCAGGCAGGCUGUCCUGAAGUGUAUUUGUGCCACUGAUUUUGACCUUUUAAGUGAAAAUUAGUUUUCUUCAUGUUGGAGGAUAUUUGAUAUAGGCUCAAAUUGAGGUCCCCCCCCUUUUUCUACCUCUAUCUAGUAGUUUUACAGUCAUUUCUACAUGGCUGCAAAUACCACAUCUUAUGAUGGGACCCCCAAACUACCAACAUAUGAGAAUCCUGAAGUGUUCACAAAUUCAGACCCUGAGCUAGCAGGUAGAUUGAUUCAGGUCUUCGUUAGAAGGCUGUAUUGUUUAAGUACUUGGCUCUAUGUAAGUCAUAAAUCCAGAUAAUAGGUUGAAGCUUUUUUCCAAAUAUAUUUCCCAGAUCAUGAACAGUCCUUCUUCCACCCAUAUUUUGUUUCAUUUCUGUUCCCCAAUGAUGCUUACUGUAUUAAUACAGCAAUUCUCAAAGUGUUCUGUGGUGCUUUGGGAGUACCCAAGACUCUUUCAGAAAGUCCAUGAGGUCAAAAAUAUUUUCAUAUUAUUAAGACAUUAUUUGCCUUUUACACUGUGUUGACAUUUGCACUGACUUGAGCAAAAGCAUUUGUGGGUGGAACUGUUGGGCUUUAGUAAGAAUAAGCAAUAGCAUCAGAGUUAUUCAUUGUCAUGCACUUGCAGUUAAAAAAAGCCAGUUUUGCUGAUGACAGCAAAAAUUAUGAUUUUUAUUAAAUCCUGACCCUUGAGUCUUCUUAAUAUUCUGUAUGAUGAAACAGGAUGUGCAGAUACUUUAACCGCACACAAUGGUUGUCUCCAGGGAAAGCAUUUAAAGUAACUGCGUUAUAUGCUGAACUGUUUUCAUGAAACACCAUUUUUACUUGAAAUAACAACAGACAAAAAAUAGUUAUUCAGACGUGGAUAUCUGGCAGAUAUUUUUCUUGAAAACAAAUGAAGUGAGCCUUUUACUUCAAGGAAAACUGGUAGCAUUUGUUGCAUUGGUGCAAUUGAAGUUUUUAAGUGAAUUAUUAUUGUGUUUUAAAAUAAAUAAAUGUUCCCUUAAAAGCCUCUGCUUAAAUUUACCCUGAUGUUGUAAAUGUCAAUAGAUACAACCCACAUAAACAGAAGCUCUCUGAGGUCCUCAAUAUUUAAGAGCAUAAAGGGAUUCUGAGACCAAAGUGUUUGAGAACCAUUGUAUUAGACACCGCUCUGUGAUCUUAAUUUUCCCUUUUAUAUUUUAUCAGAGAUUGCUAUUUGUGUGGGGUGAGUGUGUAUGAGUGUGUGUGUGUUCUCAAAGCCCUUACAACAUAUAUAUGUUGUCUAUGAAAAUUAUAUCUGAUCUACCCUAUAAGAGUGCUCACGGUAAAUAAUCCAGAAUCAGGUAGAAGAAACAGAGAGCAAAGGUAGGGGUGAGUCUGUAAGUCUAUUAGCAAGCUUUAAGUACAGAGAGUCCUAGUAGACAUAAAAUGCUAUUUGAAAUCCUUUCCAUUAUGGGCGCGGUCGGGGUGGGGAGGCAGGGGGAAGGAAGUGUACCCAAAUGGCAGGGCUAAGAGAAAGGUAAGUUUCCUAAAGAGUAGUCUCCUACAGACCAAUAGCCUAAAAAUGUAAAAUUAAGCAAAUGGAUGAAACAUCAGUCUAUAUAUGCGCUGUCCCUCCCACUGUGUAAUAAAAACAAUUCGUAUUUUCUAGGGUGUUCCGCUGUGCUAUUUUUGAACCACAAAAUUAGGAUAAAACAUGGCCCCUAUUUGCAAAAAUUUUAUGUUACUUGGGAUGACUAAAUUUUAAGUGUUUUAUAUAAACUAUUGUGUAUAUUUGGAAGUUUGUUGUUUAAACAAAUUGAUAUAUGCAAUACUCAAAGAACUACAGAUUUUCUUAUUUACUGUUUUUCACGCUAAUUUUCUUGGAUAAUAAUUUGCCCCAAAGUAAUGUUUUUAAGUGUCUUUUGAAUUUGCUUGUUAACUGUAAGUAUAAAAUCAGAAAAAAACAUUCAAACUUUAUCAAAGAAUCAAGAACGGCCUGUUUUUAAUUCCUAAGAUCUUAUUAUAAACAUGCAUCUAACACACAAGAAAAAAAAUCACUUUAGAUACCUUGGGCUUUUGUUUUUUAAGCCUUUGGUAAUCUUUUUAUUAACUUAUUAAAAGACCAAUUAGAAACACAAAAGUAGUUAUCAAAAUGACUAAGAACAGAGUGUUAGAGUCCUGGAUGUAGUAAUCAUAAUCAUGGACACUGGGUAAAUUACUUCAUUUCUCUAACAUGGAGAUAACAACCCUCAUAAGUUGUCAAAGGAUUAAAUAAGAAAAUACAAGUAAAGCCCUGGCACAUAUAUGCCCACUCAAUAAAUAAGUUAACACCAAGGAUACAUUUGACCAGAACAGACAAAAAUAUUCAAAGAUGGUCUAUAAUUCUAAAAUUCAACUUAGUGUGUAAUUUCUUCUAUGCUCCCCAAACAGUAUCUCUUCCACAAUUCUGUGUGUGUGGAAUGAGGAAAGCAUAUACUUAGAUUCAUUAUGGGCUAAAUAUUUGUUCAGCAUCCACCCUACGCAAGAUAGCAACAAGAAAGUCCAAAACACAGUGUUUAAUAUUUUAAAAAGCUAAAUCAUUUCAAUGAAAAACUUUUACCUAUAUAUUAGGGAUAUUUGACUAAAAGUAAAAAUGAAGUUAAAAUUUACCAGAGAAAUAUUAAAUACUUUAAAAAGUUGCUUUGAUAAAAUUAAUCUUUGACUUUUACUCCUAUGUUCUACUUCUACACAUGGGGCAUUUAUUCUUACCUAAAUUUUAUAUUGUCACCUUGAUAGGCUUCUAAAGGCCUAUCAGAUAAGUGAAAAGCAUACAAUAUAUCAUUUCUAAAGUUUAAAAUAUGUGAUAGGGAACUGAGUAAUCCUGAAGGACCAGGAGGUAUGUAUGUUAGUCAUAUGGGGCUCAAUUCUAUCCACUGCCUGGGACUAGUCUUACAAACACAGCAUCUCAGUCCCGAAGAACUAUUCAAGUACAUUAUAAUCAUUCACAUAAUUAAAUAUUAACUCAAUCAUUCCAAUAGCCCUACAAAGUAUUGCUAUUCCCAUAUAAGCGCAACAAAAAUUCAACCUUUACUGAGUACUUACUACACAAAGAGAACUAAGACAAUGUCACUGCCAGGCACUCUAACUAGGUGCUAGGGGUAGUUUAAAAAAAAAAAAGAAGAGAAGGAAUACAACAUGUACAACAUGGUGGCUGCAGUUUAGAGGCAAAGUGCAAAUGCUUCUGCUCUGGCGAUUAUAUUUUUAUUCUGUCAAUAAAUAUUUACUGGGCAUCUAAUCCCUUGAAAGUUACAUAUCAUCAGGUUAUAUCUUAGUCUAACAUAUUCUAGAAACUUAGAGAUAAGCUGAUUGAGGGAAUUAUUUUUUUAGUUAUAUAGAUGUAUAGAUAGUAAACAGCCAUUAUCUAGAUUUUAGAUUUGUUUAUAAACUUAUUUAUUGGCUGUUUUUAAAAGUAACCUGCCACACCUCAAUCAAUGUGUUAUGAAACUUGAACAAUUCCUUCAAAACAGAUUUAAAAAUUCCUCUGAUGGGCCCUUCUCCUCUAGAAACUUGUUUCAUCAUUCAUCCCCUCUGCCUCUGUUUUUAACCUCCAACAAUUCUAUUCACAAGUCUCUUCUCUCAAGCCCACAAACACAUUCAGUCUUUCCCAUCUUUCAGAUGGGUUACCACCAAAUCCCUCCCACUUUCAGGGUCAAAUAGUGGUUUACUCUCACUGUCUUCACUUUCUUACCAUAUAUCCAUUGGCCUACUACCAUCUGGUUUCUGAAUUUACAGAUGUUGCUCUUAGGAAGCCGCCAACAGCCUCUGGAUUACCAAAACCAGGGUGUGCAUUUUAGUCCUUAUUUUACUUAACCUCUCUCUUGCACCUCUUGAUAUUGUUGAAUAGUACUCUUUUCUUUAAAUUCUAUAGUGAUGCCAGAUGUUAUUUAUUUUUCUCCAUCUUCUUAACCAUUUCUUCUCUUCCUUGCUGGCAGGUAUGUGCUGAAUCUCCAGCCCGUUCUUGCAUUUUUAUUAAACUCUAUACCCAUAUAGCUAACUGCCUAAAGGAUAUUUCCUUUUUAUGACCUAGAGACCACAAACUCAAUACAUUCAAAACUGUACUGAGCUUCAACCAAAAAUCUGCUUCUUCUCCUUAGUGAUGUAUCUUGGACAGGGGUACCACUACCAACCUGUCAGAAAUAUGGCAGUCAUCUUAGAGUCCUCCCUCUUUUCCAACUUCCAAAUACAUUCUAAUUUUUAUACCUCUCUCCUCUAUUCCCACUGCAAUUAACAUGAAGUUCUCAUAAUUUCUCAAGCAACAGAUCUUUCUUCCUUCAAUUAUGACCUUUCCAAUCCAUUCUCUACACUACUGACAAAAUGAAAAUUUCUAAGAAGAAAAUCCAAUUAUAUUAUUCACUUAUUUAAAACCCUUACUCCAAAUGGUAGGAAUUCUGGGCUUAAGUAGAAACUAUCCGAUAAACAACUCCAAAUUCUGUAACUACACAUACGCAUUUUCCUAAAAAAGGACCUAGGUUAUCAAAGGUUAACCCCACAGGAUUAAGAUUGGCUCAUAGGAUAAACUCCUAACUCUUCUGCAAGCCCUAUGAAACCUUUCAGAAUCAUCUCAAACUACACCCUCCCCCCCAGUAUAAAUUUAAGCCGAACCCGACUACUUCAAGUUCUCAAACAGGGCUCUGCUGCUUCAACUUCUCACACCACUGAACCUAAUUUCCCUUUGCCUGGAAAGCCACUCCCCACAUCCUCCCUAAGUGAAUAAGUACUCAUCCUUCAAGUGUUCUCUCAUCUAUGAAAUCCUCCCUAGCUCCUGCAAGCAACUGAUUUCUCCUUUCACCUCCUACACUUUGUCUAUACUUUUAUUAUUUAUCAGGCUCUCUUGUGUAAUGGUAUGUUGUUCAAACUGAAAGUAGUAUUUCUUUAAAAAGCUUAAACAGGAUUUGUUCAAAAUAUAUCAGACCUAUGAUCACCAAUAAACUUAUCACUAAUGUUUUAAAAUAUUAAGGAAAAAGUUAUGCCUGUUUUGUUAAAAAAAAUGUAAACACAUAAACAACUGCCUCAUUUACUAAGUGAAAACUUCAAUUAUAAAUCUAAUUCUAACCCUCAAUAACACUUUUUUAACCUUUAUAUUUGAAAAACCUAAUUAAACAUGAUUUUCCUACUGCAAUUUCACAUUUUUAUAUACUCAAGUAUUUUUCUUUAUAUUUGAAAAUGUGUUUGCAGAACCCUAAGUGUGUGUGUGUAAAAUAUAAUUAACAUAUAUUUAUGUGUCUUUAAAGUAGACAUUUGUGUGAAAUCAGCACUUUGUUUUCAGAAGAAAAGCAAAACUUUGGGGGAAAGGCAGGAACCUUUUUGAAAAUCAGCUUGAGUAUACAUUAGGGAAUCUGAGUUUCCGUGUUACGUUAAGAAAACACCCUCAGUAGGUUAUUUAACACAGGCAAUCGAAGUUCUUACUCUUCGCCACUUGAUCACUAAAAUAUAGGGUUAAAGAGUCACGGAUGUAAAUGUUGCUGGCUAUAAAAGCAACUUGCCUGCACAGUGGAUAGAUGCCAGCUAUUAAUCCGGGCCUGAGAAUCAACACUGAAACAUGGGCUCGGCCACGAAAUCUGAAGCAAAUGUGCAGUGCCUGAUGUAUUCGCCAACGCCUCCAAGUAACUGAUCACUGCCAAGGUCGAAUUAGUAAAUCUCCUUUGAUGUUAACGAUUGAGAGUGUUCCCAGGAAAGGACUAAAAGCUGACUGCAGGAUGCUGUUUAGAAAUACCUAAACAAACUUGCUGGCGAUAGUCCUAGCCUGUGUUUGAGUGCACAGGACUGACUAGACGCGUUUUGUAAAAGACCUUCUCCCCCCACCUCCGUCCGCCUGCCUGACCCACAGUUUAUUUUUAUCCAUUUUUAACUUGGAGCCAUCUCAAAAGCAAACUAAGAACUGACCGCUCGUCAGCUCACUUGGAGAAGGCACAACCAGCUUUCGACCGAGCGCGGCCUGCAGUCAGCACCGGGCAGAAUGCACCCGCUGGCCCUUUCAACAGGACAAGCAGAGGCGCGACUCCGGCCCCCCAGGUUUCGGUUAGACCGCAACAGGAAGUUUUCUCUUCCCUUGCGGGAAGCCGUGCAACCAAAGAGCAAUUUGAACUUCCACUCCCACGGGAGCACCCAGAGAUUCCGUUUAGGUGACGCUUACCUCUUGGCACCCAGUUAUCGGAGUCCCUAAGUUGUGACCUCCUUAGCGGCUUCCCCAAUAUCUUGAAGUUCUUGGAGAGCUGGAAUGGUGGCCUGUUGCCCUGUAUGGGCCGAGCUGGCUUCUGCAUGAGGGCAAUUGACAGAGAGUGCGGGCUCUAAGUGACUGGGGCAGGUGCUCAGUAACCCACUGUUUGAAGUGGCAGAUGGAGCAGGAACUAAAAUGGCUUGUUUCUGCUGGUCCCGGCAAUUCCCGACUCUAACGACACUCCCUUAUCCUUCCUCUUUGGCUUCGGCCCUUGUUCAGGCCAACUGUCACAAACGGUGAGCCAGCAGCCCGAGCCCUUCCUGGACGGCUGAGCGCGGGGUCAGGGAAGAGCCGGCAGUUGGACCCCCGCCCUCGGCUCGCCCGGGCCCGCCCCCCUCGCGCCAGCGUCGAGUGUGCCCCCCACCCCCAGCUGCGCGCAGGGCCGGCAGGGGGAGAGGAAAACGGCCGCCACCGGCUCCGGGCCACGAGGACGCGGUCUGGUCCCGUCGAGCGGGCUGCAGCAGGAAGGAGGCAGGCGGCGGCCCUCUCUCGCGGCCCUGUGGCUCCGCUCGCGGGCCUGCUCAGAAGGCCCGGCGCGUGGCGGGCACCCCGAGGCGCCGCCGGCGGCAGCGGCAAGGCGUCCCCCCAGCUUCGCGGGGAAGACGUGAGGAGAGCCGGAGCAGGCCGAGGGAACCCCGGGGGCGCUGCGCUUCCCCAGGGCGCCGCCGGCGUGCGCGCACAGACGAUGCUAUAAACCGGUAGAAAAGUCAACUGUCAACUUCUGCUCACCAAGAGAGCAGCACAAGCCCUGAAAUGUGGUGGAAGAUGCUUGCUGCCCAGAAGAGUCAUGCUGUCGCUGAUCAUCAUGACUGACAGUGAGCAAAGAGAGCCUGCCAGACCUUUCCUUGUUCCUAGACAACAGACUCAACACUGAUAAACUUACCAACCCUGGAACUUAAUAAAUUUCCUAGUCACCGAGUUUUGGACUUAAAGAACAACAAAAAAAAACCCCUAAAAAAACAAGAAACCAAACCAGAAACAAAAGUACUGAUUUCUUGGUGAAUGCACGGUGACUGAUUUAAAAACUGUGUAUAUUCCAGAAGUUACUGAUACAUGUAAUCCAUUUGAUCUACGCAAGGGUAACAACAAUCAAGAAUUAAAACUAAAUCCCCUUUUGGGUCUGGAAAAGCCACUUGGUCUCCCUAAGGAACUGUCUGCCUGCCUUUAGUUUCUCUUUAAAACACCCACAGACAUAAUCUGUCAUGCCUAAGUUUUCCAUCAAGAUUGAGGUAUGUGACCUUUUCUUUAUAAAGUUAAGUACUAUCAGAGAAUGGUGGUUCCUACUCUUAAAAUGUCAUUUAGGAUUAUAAUCGAUUACUGCCUCAAACGUUCCAGAGUACCAUUUACAUACUCAAAAUCAGUGCCUUUUUAAAAUCAUAGUUAGGUCUGUGUCUAAAAUGACUCUAGUCCAUCUGGAAACACUUGGUAGCUAAAAGAGUUAAGUGAAGGCUACCAAAGCCCUAAACAACAGGCUAGACCUAAAAGUUAGUUUAGGGAUUAAAUACUUUUCAGUAAAGACAGAAAAGUAUUUUGGCUCAAAAUCUUUAAAGAAUAUUAAAGUAAUAUACUUUAAGCAGAAUAUCUGAUAUGGUAUUAAGAAUCCAUAGUGAUAAAUUAAUGUUUGGUAUAAACUUUUUUUUUGGUAUUAACUUCUUUCUGAUAAUAUGAAUGUUCGUGAGUAGUUUCCCUCUAAAAGUGAGUUUUUUCAAUCCAGUGGCUUAAAUAAAUUUUGUAACUUCCGAGUUCACGAAUAUAAGUGUACUUUUGCAUGUUAAAGACUGUUAGAUCAUAUGGACCACUUCAGCACACUAGAAAUUUUUCCAGUUUGGUUGAUUUGAAUCCGAAAGCUUGGUUAAGUCUUAGGUUUCACCAAUUAUUAUUAUGUCAUCAGAAUCCAGUCUUGGCCUUUUCAUAUCUUACACUAAUGUAACAUAAUUUGCUUUUUUUUUUUUUAGCCCAGAAUUGCUGUGAGAAUCAUAUGAGACUAAAGAAAACUAUCUUGACUGGAUUCUGUUAAGUUAAAAAAAAUACAAUUAUCUUUAAGAAUAUCUCAGAAUUUGGAUAGCCCUUCCUUUAUUAAAAUUACCAAAAUUUUACUCUAACAUCAAUAGCUUCCUUUAAGUAUUCUUGGCUAUUCCUCUUCAGAAAUUACUUGCUGCUAAACUGGCAGUAAGAGUAAGAUCAAAUACACAAAAGCUUGUUGAAGCUCAUCAAUCACGACCCUGCGGGUCACUAUGUGAAAGAACUUUUACUUUGUUUUUUUAAUGUCAUGAAGUUUUUCACUCCACUGUAUGUACAAUCUCACUUAGGAUCUAGCCCCAUCUUGUUUUUCAUCUUAUUUUGGUAGGCUAGGUCAGCAUUUGUAUACUUUUUACAACAAAAGUACUUUGUCCUUCAAGAAAAAAUUUGUUUUGAAAAUAAUUAAAAAAUACAACAUAAGAGCCCCCUUUCUUAAUUUGGAAAGCUAACCUA